rnacentral:rRNA from 1 species
AUUGAACGCUGGCGGCAUGCCUUACACAUGCAAGUCGAACGGUAACAGGUCUUCGGAUGCUGACGAGUGGCGAACGGGUGAGUAAUACAUCGGAACGUGCCCGAUCGUGGGGGAUAACGCAGCGAAAGCUGUGCUAAUACCGCAUACGAUCUACGGAUGAAAGCGGGGGAUCGCAAGACCUCGCGCGGACGGAGCGGCCGAUGGCAGAUUAGGUAGUUGGUGGGAUAAAAGCUUACCAAGCCGACGAUCUGUAGCUGGUCUGAGAGGACGACCAGCCACACUGGGACUGAGACACGGCCCAGACUCCUACGGGAGGCAGCAGUGGGGAAUUUUGGACAAUGGGCGCAAGCCUGAUCCAGCCAUGCCGCGUGCAGGAUGAAGGCCUUCGGGUUGUAAACUGCUUUGUACGGAACGAAAAGACUCUCUCUAAUACAGGGGUGAAUGACGGUACCGUAAGAAUAAGACACCGGCUAACUACGUGCCAGC